AAGUGUUUGGCAGGGGCAAUCUUAGGCGUGCCACAGUUCCUGCGUGGACCUGUUGCUAGGAGCACCCUCUCUUGUCUUGAGCAGAGUCCAUCUGAAGAGCCCUCAGCAACGUGACAUGAACAUAAGUGACACGUGUGCAGCUUCUAACAAGCACUGUAAGAACCUGGUGUGCCCCUUAUCAUUCUUCCCCUGGGUCUCCCUCAGUACAAUGGACUCUUCAUUCCUGAAGACCGAGACUCAGACUGGAAGCAUGUGGGUGCCCGAAUCCCAGGCCAAGGAAAACCAGCCACCAUCUGGCAACAGACUGUUAAAGGAGCACGUAACAAGCAUGAGAUACAUUCCCUGACAGAAACACGGGGCUCAUGCUUCCAGGGUACUAACAGCAUUGUGUAUUGGAUGUCCAUAAGCACUGUACAUAAGCACCAUGAAGAACAGUAGGACAUAGAGAGGAAAUGAGGAAUGUUGCAGAUGGAGAUUAGUUACCUAAGCAGAGUACUCGGGAAGCUCUCCUCAGCCAGCGACAUGGGCAGAGUGAAGAAGCAUUGUGGGAAAGUGAUGUUAUGUAUGGGGAAAUGUUGCAAGAACAGUGGGUUCAACCACCCUGAGUAGGAACAUUCGCGGAACUAAACCCAAGUCCUCUGCAAGAACAGAUCGUAUUCUGACCUGCUCUGACACCCCUCCAGCCCUCUUAUUAUAACCUCUUCAUUUACAUACAUAUCGCAUGUUCUUUGAUCUAGUUCACCUCCCUGGUUACCCUUUCCUGUUGUCCCCUUUCCUCCUCCUGCAAGCCCAGCCCUCUUCCUGCCUUCAUGUCUUUUUUUCCCCAAGAUCUGUCCUUGGUGAUGUUUUCGCUGUCUAGGGAAACAGGGUAACGGGGCAGGGGUGAUCCUUUUCUGUUAAGACAGACACAUACUUCGUGGAGAUUGCAGAAGUUCAGCAGAGAGGAACAUUAACGAGAGAGAAGAAAUAGUCUAUCCAGGAUCUCCUUUGGAAGGUCUCUAGAUCAGAUGUCAUCUCCUUGUUCAGCUCCCCCAAGCCCCCCACACUGAAUGGACUCUGCUGCCCCCAACAUGCGUUCCUCUCACAAGCCAUUCUCAAAUCGUGGUCUUAAAGUGGACAUCAGUUCGUGUAUUCUUGAGGACGCUGCUGCCACCCCACGCUAGCUAAGAAUGCUUGGCCACACCUUCGAGUUACCCGCCCAUCUUCGCAGCUCUUAGAGGCUCCCGGUGACUGCGCUAUUAUAUGUACGGCUACUUAGUUGCUUUCUCACCAGACUCCUAAUUUUUAUA